rnacentral:rRNA from 1 species
AACGAACGCUGGCGGCAUGCCUAACACAUGCAAGUCGAACGAGACCUUCGGGUCUAGUGGCGCACGGGUGCGUAACGCGUGGGAACCUGCCCUUAGGUUCGGAAUAACUCCCCGAAAGGGGUGCUAAUACCGGAUAAUGUCUUCGGACCAAAGAUUUAUCGCCUUUGGGUGGGCCCGCGUUGGAUUAGCUAGUUGGUAGGGUAAAAGCCUACCAAGGCUACGAUCCAUAGCUGGUCUGAGGGGAUGAUCAGCCACACUGGGACUGGGACACGGCCCAGACACGGAGGGGGGGGGGGAGGGGGGAAAAUGGGAAAAAGGGGAAAAGGAAGAAAAGGAAGGGCGGGGGGAGAGAGAAAGGCUUAAGGAUGGAAAAGAUUUUUAAAGGGGGAUGAAAAGAAAAGAACGGGGAAAAAAGGCACGGGCAAACUCGGG